rnacentral:ribozyme from 1 species
UGCCCAGCAACUUCUAUCCCUACCUCCUCGCGGUACUGGCCAGGGCACGAGCAACCUUAGGGAAGA